rnacentral:rRNA from 1 species
CAAUAGCGUAUAUUAAAGUUGUUGCAGUUAAAAAGCUCGUAGUUGGAUUUCUGGUGGUAGCGAUCGGUCUGGCGCUUAGCGCGAGUACUUGCAUCGUCUCCGGCCAUCCUUGGGGAGAGUCUGUCUGGCAUUAAGUUGUCGGGCAGAGGAUCCUCAUCGUUUACUGUGAAAAAAUUAGAGUGUUCAAAGCAGGCUUAUGCCGUUGAAUAUAUUAGCAUGGAAUAAUAAGAUAGGACUUUGGUACUAUUUUGUUGGUUUGCGCACCAAAGUAAUGAUUAAUAGGGACAGUUGGGGGUAUUCGUAUUCCGUUGUCAGAGGUGAAAUUCUUGGAUUUACGGAAGACGAACUACUGCGAAAGCAUUUACCAAGGAUGUUUUCAUUAA